GUUUUGGGGACUCUGAUGUGAGUGAAGAAGAGCCAGAAAAUUGUGACUUAGCUUCUCUGAGGUCGCCACGACCUUCCAACUCGCCUGUUGUAUCAGUUGAAGCCUCAAGCCCAAACCAAUUACACUGGCAGACUCCACCAUCUCGCCGAGUGCCAGGCAGCAGAGUCACUACUCCUCAACCUGGAGGAAACUGUCUAGCACUUGACCAUGGGGCCGGACCGCAACACCCUUCACCACCUCAACUCCCUGCUCCUGCAUUUAACAUGAGGAGAGUUACUCAAGGAACAGCAGUCCCUCCUCAACUCCCUCCACCCCGCGCACCAGCCCUCAACAUGCGGCGAACAGAGGAGGCCUCUUCAAGCCUGGCCUACAGACCAACAUGGCGAGGGGGAAGAAUGACCGAUACCAUUCCCUGCUCUGCGGCUGAGGUCCACAUCCUUAGUCUGCUGGAGACCAUUAAACAGCAACAAGACCAGCUUGUGGCAAAGGUGAACUACCUCAGCAGCAGGCUGAACAGCACCCCGGGGGCCAGAUUUUGAGAUGCCGGACAAUAUCCAGUUUCCCCUGGAACAAUUGGAGGCAGUGGAGGCAUUUGAAAUGUUUUUAAAGGAACCGUCAAAUGGCCCAGCUCGACAGAGAGUGAUUUCUUCUUUGGCCACCAUUGGAGGUCAGGAUGUGAAGAGGGUGACCUGGAACAUCC